CCCUUAGAGUUUGAUCCUGGCUCAGAAUGAACGCUGGCGGCGUGCUUUACACAUGCAAGUCGAGCGAGGCCGGUAGCUUGCUACCGAGUCGAGCGGCGAACGGGUGAGUAACGCGUGGAUACCUGCCUCUGGAUGGGGGAUAACCCGGGGAAACCCGGACUAAUACCGCAUAAUAUUGAGAGAUCAAAGGGGGCCGCAAGGCUCCUGUCUGGAGAGGGGUCCGCGUACGAUUAGCUAGUUGGUAGGGUAAUGGCCUACCAAGGCGACGAUCGUUAGCCGGCCUGAGAGGGUGAUCGGCCACACUGGAACUGAGACACGGUCCAGACUCCUACGGGAGGCAGCAGUGGGGAAUUUUGCGCAAUGGGCGAAAGCCUGACGCAGCAACGCCGCGUGGAGGAUGAAGGCCCUUGGGUUGUAAACUCCUGUCAGCAGGGAAAAAGGAGGUCGGGUUAAUACCCUGGCCGCUUGAUUGUACCUGCAGAGGAAGCCCCGGCUAACUCUGUGCCAGCAGCCGCGGUAAUACAGAGGGGGCGAGCGUUAUUCGGAAUUAUUGGGCGUAAAGGGCGCGUAGGUGGCCAAGUAAGCGGAAGGUGAAAUCCCUCGGCUCAACCGAGGAACUGCCCUCCGAACUGCGAGGCUUGAGUCCGGGAGAGGUGAGUGGAAUUCCCAGUGUAGCGGUGAAAUGCGUAGAUAUUGGGAGGAACACCAGUGGC
rnacentral:rRNA from 1 species